CUUUGACAGUGGGUCCAGUCAUGCCACGAAUUUCCACCAUACACAUAUGAAUCCUCAUGAAUGAAACGGGGUGGUGGGGAUGGUCUGCCACUCGGAGGAGAUAUAAGGCGGCCGCCUUUGACAGUAGGUCCAGUCAUGCCACGAAUUUCCACCAUACACAUAUGAAUCCUCAUGAAUGAAACGGGGUGGUGGGGAUGGUCUGCCACUCGGAGGAGAUAUAAGGCGGCCGCCUUUGACAGUAGGUCCAGUCAUGCCACGAAUUUCCACCAUACACAUAUGAAUCCUCAUGAAUGAAACGGGGUGGUGGGGAUGGUCUGCCACUCGGAGGAGAUAUAAGGCGGCCGCCUUUGACAGUAGGUCCAGUCAUGCCACGAAUUUCCACCAUACACAUAUGAAUCCUCAUGAAUGAAACGGGGUGGUGGGGAUGGUCUGCCACUCGGAGGAGAUAUAAGGCGGCCGCCUUUGACAGUAGGUCCAGUCAUGCCACGAAUUUCCACCAUUCACAUAUGAA